rnacentral:rRNA from 1 species
UGGGGAAUUUUGCACAAUGGGGGAAACCCUGAUGCAGCGACGCCGCGUGAUUUAGAAGGCCUUCGGGUUGUAAAAAUCUUUUCUAUGGGAAGAAAAUGACAGUACCAUAGGAAUAAGGACCGGCUAAUUACGUGCCAGCAGCCGCGGUAAUACGUAAGGUCCGAGCGUUGUCCGGAAUCAUUGGGCGUAAAGGGUACGUAGGCGGGUAAGCAAGUUAGAAGUGAAAUCCUGUAGCUCAACUACAGUAAGCUUUUAAAACUGCUCAUCUUGAGAGAUGGAAGGGAAGGUGGAAUUCCUAGUGUAGCGGUGAAAUGCGCAGAUAUUAGGAGGAAUACCGGUGGCGAAGGCGACUUUCUGGCCAUAAUCUGACGCUGGGGUACGAGAGCGUGGUUAGCAAAGAGG